ensembl:lncRNA
AUGAUCUUCCCAAAUUUCACUGCAGAAAAUGAAGAACGGCUCCUGGUGAUUGCGAUUUUCUACCUCCCUGACCCAGUGCUGAGGAGGGAGAUGGCUCAUCCUUCAUGCCCCUUCUCCUGUGGCUCUCACCUCAGGGCGACGUGCAUCUUUCACCUGGACAGAGUCCCAGGAUCCAAUGAUCUGAACACACUUAAGUGCCUUGCUCAGGUCCCUCCACCCCAAGUCUCACACCUCAACAUCAUCAAUACCCUGUUCACCCUGUUGCCAGCGGUACAGGCUCCAGGAAGGGGGUGUUCAGCCUGUCCCUGUCUCUGGCCAUGUCACUGGGAAAUGUUCCACGUGGAGCAGUGCCACCAGGCUGCUGCUGUCCCUGGCACUGCCUGGUACAAGCCUUGGAUGACUGAAGAAGAGAAGGAGUGAGGGCAGAGAUUUGUAUUUUCUGAGCACAUCCUUUGUGGCGGGUUUUGUAUUCAGUCCUUUAUAUACAAGAUUUCAUUUAGCCCUCAUCAUAGUUCCAUGAGGAAGACAUCAUUGUCAUGAGAAAACUAAAGCUCAGAGGGUUUGCCCAGGCUGCAGGUGGAUUUUGGGGGGGUAGGCAUAGCCCUCAGCAUAUUUCCAAAUUCCAUGUUCACUGUCGCUUGAGCACUGGGGAGUUUUUCUGGUUUGGGCAAGGUCAGAAGGCAAUUCCUUGAUUCUUUUUAUCAAGAGUCCCAGAAAUUAAAUUCAGAAAAUCAGACUUGUCAGAAUUGCUGAGGUCAUAAGAUACCAAAGAGGCACUGUGGUAUCUCCUCACGGAUGCUCACACGGAUAAGUGAACAAUGAGGGUAGACUAUAACCAGCUCAUUGUCAGCGUUCAGGAGUGAUGAUGUGCAUGGGGCCCCAACACCUGACUCUGCCAGUCACUAGCUGUGGGACCUCACACAUGUUAACCAGUCUUUCUGUUUCUCAGCCAUGAGCUAUAUGGGGAUAAGAACUUGCUUCCUCCCAGGUUUCUUAUGAGGAUAACAGGAGACACUGUUUUCUAGCCUUGAUACCGUGUGUAUUGUGUGCUGGGAAAUCCUAGCAGUAGUGCUGGUUGUUGAAAAACUAGUACUUUUAACCAUAGUAAUUUCACUCCAUAGCAGUUUGCUUCACAGGGUCAUCAUAUUUAUUUGGGAUUGUUUAGCAUCACCAUUGGAAGGAAGAGAUGAGAAGGGAAGGAAAGGGACUGAAGACUAAGGACAGGAAAGCUGGUAGUGAUGCUUCAGAAAGCAGGUGGGACCCCGUUACCAUGUGUGGGACCACAUUAGUCCAAGAGGCUGCUGGCAGCCAGAAUCGCCUUUCAGGAGGCGGUAGGGUCCCAGGAAUGAUGGGUUGAGCAUCCAGACCACCUGGGACAGGAGUGAUGAGUAAAGAACCUUAUCUGCAAGGUCGCUUUCUUAUGAAAAUUGUUACAAGCCCUGAUCCUGGUAGGGCUUAGGCGUGGCUUGGGGGUGACCUGGCUGACAGACUCCAUCUUUCCUUCUGCUUUUUCAAGAUUCCAAACCACCUUCUUACAGACCAGCUAGCCCUCUACCCCAGCACCUGUGGUAAGGACAACCUACCAGCCGCCUGGAUGUGUUAGUUUAUUAUGCAAAUGGUUGCAAAUUUUCUGCUUGGCAUCACUCCUCCUCCUCCUCCAUCCCUUCUCCCAUCUUUUUUUGCUCUGAUGGUUUUAAGAAUCAUUAUUUCUCUUGUGCUUUCUACUGGAAAACAAAACAAAACAAAGCAAAAGAGAGAAGUCUAAUCCCCAACUCAGGCUGUGGCUUCUAAUUAUCUUAUUAAAACAAUCUGAAUUCCUUAAGCCUUUUAUGUCCCUGGUCCCAGGACAAUCUUCCUACUUUCUGAUGUCAAUUUUCAGUGAAGUUUUAAUACCUGCUUUUCAGUAAGGUGAAGGGAACUCAGCUUUAAAAAGUAUAUUAUCAAAACAUGAUUCUCCAAACAAAUAGUCUCAGCUUUAAGAAGCCUGUAAAGAGAAGGUGUAAUUUGGAGUGUUUACUCUUCACAAUAGAGACCCACUUGAAGUGUCAUAAGUUUAGAAAACAGGAACACUUACAGGAGCCAUGCUUAUUUUUAAAUGCAAAAUAAUAAUUUUUAAAAACUGCCUUUCUUGUUACUCUGAAGGCAGCCCAACUGAUCAUUUGUCAAAGCCACGAUUCUUCCAACAAAAUGAGAGAAACAGGCAGAACAGAGAGGAGACAAAGUGUUUAUUUUGAAAGGGAAAAUAAAGAUAUUUUUCUAACAUGAUUACCA